UUUUGGUUCCAUGCCUUUGAAUCUCAUGCGUAACCCUUUCUUUAAGAGAGACUUAACCGCACUGCCGCUUCUCCAUAGUGACGCCGUCGAAUGCCACCACACCCAUACCAUCAUCUUCCUUGAUUUGCUAAGGUAACCACCAGCUAAUAGUUGAUUUGCUAUUCUUCUUCGUUAUUUUGAUUUCAUUAUUGUCAUGGAAACUUUAACAUAGAUGAAUGAGAAGAAAGUUCAACAAUUUCUUUCAAGAAGUGCUAGAAUAGGCGGGAGAAGAAGAAGAAGAGGACAAAGAAGAAGAAAUCAGCAAUCUUUCCAUCUUCCAGAACAAAUC
rnacentral:lncRNA from 1 species